CGGAACGGGUGAGUAAUGCGUGACCAACCUGCCCCAUGCUCCAGAAUAGCUCUUGGAAACGGGUGGUAAUGCUGGAUGCUCCAACUUGACGCAUGUCUUGUUGGGAAAGUGUUUAGUGGCAUGGGAUGGGGUCGCGUCCUAUCAGCUUGUAGGCGGGGUAAUGGCCCACCUAGGCUUCGACGGGUAGCCGGCCUGAGAGGGCGGACGGCCACAUUGGGACUGAGAUACGGCCCAGACUCCUACGGGAGGGCAGCAGCG
rnacentral:rRNA from 1 species